rnacentral:rRNA from 1 species
AGAGUUUGAUCCUGGCUCAGGACGAACGCUGGCGGCGUGCUUAACACAUGCAAGUCGAGCGAUGAGAUCACUUCGGUGAAGGAUUAGCGGCGAACGGGUGAGGAACACGUGAAGAAUCUGCCUUCAACUCUGGGAUAACUCCGGGAAACCGGGGCUAAUACCGGAUAUGAGCCUUGAUCGCAUGUUCGGGGCUGGAAAGUUUUUCGGUUGAAGAUGACUUCGCGGCCUAUCAGCUUGUUGGUGAGGUAAUGGCUCACCAAGGCGACGACGGGUAGCCGGCCUGAGAGGGCGACCGGCCACACUGGGACUGAGACACGGCCCAGACUCCUACGGGAGGCAGCAGUGGGGAAUAUUGGGCAAUGGACGGAAGUCUGACCCAGCGACGCCGCGUGCGGGAUGAAGGCCUUCGGGUUGUAAACCGCUUUCAGCAGGGAAUAAGCGCAAGUGAAGGUACCUGCAGAAGAAGCACCGGCUAACUAUGUGCCAGCAGCCGCGGUAAUACAUAGGGUGCAAGCGUUGUCCGGAAUUAUUGGGCGUAAAGAGCUCGUAGGUGAUUUGUUACGUCGGUUGUGAAAUUCAGGGGCUCAACCCCUGACUUGCAGCCGAUACGGGCAAGCUAGAGUUUGGUAGGGGAGACUGGAAUUCCUGGUGUAGCGGUGGAAUGCGCAGAUAUCAGGAGGAACACCGAUGGCGAAGGCAGGUCUCUGGGCCAAUACUGACACUGAGGAGCGAAAGCGUGGGGAGCGAACAGGAUUAGAUACCCUGGUAGUCCACGCCGUAAACGGUGGGCGCUAGUUGUG